AAAUCCCUCAAAUGAAUAGUGACCUCGCCAUUAUUGCUCAAAAGACUGGAAGGAGUCCUGUGGAGGAUCUAGAUGUCUCCUUCUCGACUUUUGGAGAAGUGCAACCGACUCCAGAGAGGAGACCGAGCCCUUUAAAGAGAGUCCCAUGGUGACUGAGCGCUUUCGAGAGACACCACAGACUGCAGCAACAGCUGAGACCACAGCGAAAACACAG